UGUUCUUGGAGCUUGUGAACUUGGCAAAGU
rnacentral:piRNA from 1 species